AGUUAAAAAGCCACAGAUCAGCCUAAUGUCUUGAAAACAUUAUGAAAGAAGUUUAAAUCUUCUAUUAACUU
rnacentral:tRNA from 1 species